UCCCUUUGGAGUAGCUGCAGCUCAG
rnacentral:piRNA from 1 species